UACGUAGGGUGCAAGCGUUAAUCGGAAUUACUGGGCGUAAAGCGUGCGCAGGCGGCCAUGCAAGACAGAUGUGAAAUCCCCGGGCUCAACCUGGGAACUGCAUUUGUGACUGCAUGGCUAGAGUACGGCAGAGGGGGAUGGAAUUCCGCGUGUAGCAGUGAAAUGCGUAGAUAUGCGGAGGAACACCGAUGGCGAAGGCAAUCCCCUGGGCCUGCACUGACGCUCAUGCACGAAUGCGUGGGGAGCAAACAGG
rnacentral:rRNA from 1 species